CAGCGGCCGGGGCCUGCCGCGUGGGAGCCCACGCGUGUCCCCGAGGAACAUGCUACACCUUGGGGCGGGAUGCGGCUGUGCGGCUGGAAAGCGGGGGAGCCCCCCACACCCCUGGGGGCUGAGAGAGCGGCCGGGCCCCUCCGCGUGCGUGGCGGCCGUGCGCUUAGCGGUGCCUACGCCUGUGUUCGUACAUCUGAGUGUCUCCCGCUGGGGAAAUGUGCACCUAUCUCCAGUAUUUUGAGUGCGUGCAUUUCCGCGCACCCCACCACACACGCUUACAGCAUUUACCAGCACGCUGAGGAGCGAACACCACUGUGAAUAAUAUUAAAGCAGGAAUAGGACUACAGCUUGGGUAAACAGGUGCAGCGUCCGGGACGGAUGGCAAAGCCUUCGCUGAGCUUUGACCGCUUCCAGAGCAGCGGGCCGAGACCGGGCUCACCGCAGCCGAGGUGGCUUAAAACAUCCCCAUUCCAUCGAGGGAGGUGGGAACUUUCACCUCCCAGUUAAAACAGGCAAACGCUAGUGACACGUGAUGGAGAUUAUAUAACCUCACUUUCAAAGAAAAUUAAACUUCUCGCUGGCAACUUGCACCCCCGCGAAGGGCGACAUUUCUGCAAGAGAAGCGUUUUCUCUCCCCCCUCAUCCCCGCCCCGCAGACAGCUGGAAGUUGCUUGUAAAGCAGCGUUGGAUGGACGAGACGAAAAUUUUUUUAAAAGUGCAAAUAAAUCAGUCAGUCGAGAUAUUGUGCAAGGUAA